rnacentral:tRNA from 1 species
GGGCUCGUAGCUCAGUUUGGUAGAGCACCGGGCUCUUAACCCGAUGGUCGCGGGUUCAAACCCCGUCGAGCCCGCCA